UAUACGUAGGACACGAGGCAUCCCGACACUAUCUGGGAGUUGUGAUUAGGUCGUUGUGAGUGGACUGAUAUACGUAGGACACGAGGCAUCCCGACACUAUCUGGGAGUUGUGAUUAGGUCGUUGUGAGUGGACUGAUAUACGUAGGACACGAGGCAUCCCGACACUAUCUGGGAGUUGUGAUUAGGUCGUUGUGAGUGGACUGAUAUACGUAGGACACGAGGCAUCCCAACACUAUCUGGGAGUUGUGAUCUGGUCGUUAUGAGUGGACUGAUAUACGUAGGACACGAGGCAUCCCAACACUAUCUGGGAGGUGUGAUUAGGUCGUUAUGAGUGGACUGAUAUACGUAGGACACGAUGCAUCCCGACACUAUCUGGGAGUUGUGAUUAGGUCGUUAUGAGUGGACUGAUAUACGUAGGACACGAGGCAUCCCGACACUAUCUGGGAGUUGUGAUUAGGUCGUUGUGAGUGGACUGAUAUACGUAGGACACGAGGCAUCCCGACACUAUCUGGGAGUUGUGAUUAGGUCGUUAUGAGUGGACUGAUAUACGUAGGACACGAGGCAUCCCAACACUAUCUGGGAGUUGUGAUUAGGUCGUUAUGAGUGGACUGAUAUACGUAGGACACGAGGCAUCCCAACACUAUCUGGGAGUUGUGAUUAGGUCGUUAUGAGUGGACUGAUAUACGUAGGACACGAGGCAUCCCGACACUAUCUGGGAGUUGUGAUUAGGUCGUUAUGAGUGGACUGAUAUACGUAGGACACGAGGCAUCCCAACACUAUCUGGGAGUUGUGAUUAGGUCGUUAUGAGUGGACUGAUAUACGUAGGACACGAGGCAUCCCGACACUAUCUGGGAGUUGUGAUUAGGUCGUUAUGAGUGGACUGAUAUACGUAGGACACGAGGCAUCCCAACACUAUCUGGGAGUUGUGAUUAGGUCGUUAUGAGUGGACUGAUAUACGUAGGACACGAGGCAUCCCAACACUAUCUGGGAGUUGUGAUUAGGUCGUUAUGAGUGGACUGAUAUACGUAGGACACGAGGCAUCCCAACACUAUCUGGGAGUUGUGAUUAGGUCGUUAUGAGUGGACUGAUAUACGUAGGACACGAGGCAUCCCGACACUAUCUGGGAGUUGUGAUUAGGUCGUUGUGAGUGGACUGAUAUACGUAGGACACGAGGCAUCCCGACACUAUCUGGGAGUUGUGAUUAGGUCGUUGUGAGUGGACUGAUAUACGUAGGACACGAGGCAUCCCAACACUAUCUGGGAGUUGUGAUUAGGUCGUUAUGAGUGGACUGAUAUACGUAGGACACGAGGCAUCCCAACACUAUCUGGGAGUUGUGAUUAGGUCGUUAUGAGUGGACUGAUAUACGUAGGACACGAGGCAUCCCAACACUAUCUGGGAGUUGUGAUUAGGUCGUUAUGAGUGGACUGAUAUACGUAGGACACGAGGCAUCCCAACACUAUCUGGGAGUUGUGAUUAGGUCGUUAUGAGUGGACUGAUAUACGUAGGACACGAGGCAUCCCGACACUAUCUGGGAGUUGUGAUUAGGUCGUUAUGAGUGGACUGAUAUACGUAGGACACGAGGCAUCCCAACACUAUCUGGGAGUUGUGAUUAGGUCGUUGUGAGUGGACUGAUAUACGUAGGACACGAUGCAUCCCAACACUAUCUGGGA